ensembl:snoRNA
AAAGCAGGUUGCAAUUACAGUGCUUCCUCUUGUGGAAGUACUGACAUUAUCCUGCUGAAAGAAAAUCUGUGUCCGUCGUGUUGGAUUUUGCCUUUGUGAGGGUAAAAUCAUGACAGAUUGACAGGGACAAUU